GGGCCCGCACAAGCGGUGGAGCAUGUGGUUUAAUUCGAUGAUACGCGAGGAACCUUACCAGGGCUUAAAUGUAAGUUGCAUUAGUUAGAGAUAGCUAUUUCUUCGGACCACUUACAAGGUGCUGCAUGGUUGUCGUCAGCUCGUGCCGUGAGGUGUCAGGUUAAGUCCUAUAACGAGCGCAACCCCUGUUGUUAGUUGCCAGCGAGUCAUGUCGGGAACUCUAACGAAACUGCCAGUGCAAACUGUGAGGAAGGUGGGGAUGACGUCAAAUCAUCACGGCCCUUACGUCCUGGGCUACACACGUGCUACAAUGGCCGGUACAGAGAGCAGCCACUUCGCAAGAAGGAGCGAA
rnacentral:rRNA from 1 species